AUUGAACGCUGGCGGCAUGCCUUACACAUGCAAGUCGAACGGCAGCACGGGAGCAAUCCUGGUGGCGAGUGGCGAACGGGUGAGUAAAGUAUCGGAACGUGCCCAGUCGUGGGGGAUAACGUAGCGAACGUUACGCUAAUACCGCAUACGAUCUAUGGAUGAAAGCGGGGGAUCGCAAGACCUCGCGCGAUUGGAGCGGCCGAUAUAUGAUUAGGUAGUUGGUGGGGUAAAGGCUCACCAAGCCGACGAUCUGUAGCUGGUCUGAGAGGGCGACCAGCCACACUGGGACUGAGACACGGCCCAGACUCCUACGGGAGGCAGCAGUGGGGAAUUUUGGACAAUGGGCGCAAGCCUGAUCCAGCCAUGCCGCGUGCAGGAUGAAGGCCUUCGGGUUGUAAACUGCUUUUGUACGGAACGAAAAGGUUUGGCUUAAUACGUUGAACUCAUGACGGUACCGUAAGAAUAAGCACCGGCUAACUACGUGCCAGCCGCCGCGGUAA
rnacentral:rRNA from 1 species